GAGAAGGGUGAGGACCAGGUGGGAGGGGAGGAGCCCCUACUGGCAUUGAAAUUUGAUGUGGCUGCUUAUGUUCUCCCAUUCCCGCAGUAUCAGAUAAGGGCAUUGCAACUCCAAUACCAGGAAUGGUUCCCUCAUUUCGAGCCAGCCCAGGUGGAAAUGCUCCAGGAGUAGUAGGUCCAUCAGGUACCACAAAGUUACCAGUCAUACGAGCAGAACCAGCGGGAUUUUGCUCAUUGUAACCUGUGCUAAAC
rnacentral:misc_RNA from 1 species